rnacentral:rRNA from 1 species
AUUGAACGCUGGCGGCAUGCUUUACACAUGCAAGUCGAACGGUAACAGGCCGCAAGGUGCUGACGAGUGGCGAACGGGUGAGUAAUGCAUCGGAACGUGCCCAGUCGUGGGGGAUAACGCAGCGAAAGCUGUGCUAAUACCGCAUACGAUCUAUGGAUGAAAGCGGGGGACCGUAAGGCCUCGCGCGAUUGGAGCGGCCGAUGUCAGAUUAGGUAGUUGGUGGGGUAAAGGCCUACCAAGCCGACGAUCUGUAGCUGGCCUGAGAGGACGACCAGCCACACUGGGACUGAGACACGGCCCAGACUCCUACGGGAGGCAGCAGUGGGGAAUUUUGGACAAUGGGCGCAAGCCUGAUCCAGCAAUGCCGCGUGCAGGAAGAAGGCCUUCGGGUUGUAAACUGCUUUUGUACGGAACGAAACGGUCUGGGUUAAUACCCUGGGCUAAUGACGGUACCGUAAGAAUAAGCACCGGCUAACUACGUGCCAGCCGCCGCCUAACAC